rnacentral:rRNA from 1 species
UACGUAGGUGACUAGCGUUGUCCGGAUGUACUGGGCGGAAAGAGCGCGCAGGCGGUCGUUCAAGUCGAGUGUGAAAGCCCCCGGCUCAACUGGGGAGGGUCAUUCGAUACUGAUCGACUCGAAGGCAGGAGAGGGAAGCGGAAUUCCCGGUGUAGUGGUGAAAUGCGUAGAUAUCGGGAGGAACACCAGUGGCGAAGGCGGCUUCCUGGCCCAUUACUGACGUUCAGGUACGAAAGCGUGGGUAGCAAACAGG